rnacentral:lncRNA from 1 species
GUAAUAAUAGUAGUAGUAAUAGUAGUAACAGUAGUAAUAAUAGUAAUAAUAGUAGUCACCAUACUGUAUGGUGGUCCAACAAAUAUGAUAAUAUAAAUCGAAUGAUUUUUUUUUUAUCUGUAAACAAAUGUUUUAAAUUAUUUAUGAUAAGAACAUAUAAUAUAUUAUUAUACAAAAUAAAAGAACAAGAAAUAACAAUGUUAUAUUUAUUUUUAUAUAUACAAAAUAUAUGUCUUAAAAAAUUAAAAUAUUAUCAAUCGAAAACAUUUUAUAAAUGGUUUGAGACAAAUUUAUAUUAUUUUAUGACUGAUCAUACAUUUUUAGAUAAUAAACAUUAUAUUAUUAAUGAAAGUAUGAAAAGUACUUAUAAUUACAAACAGAAUACAAAAAACGAUUUGAAUAAAAAAUUAAAUUAUACUUUUUAUUUUUUAGUUAAUGCUUAUAAUUAUCAAGAGAUUGUUACGAUGAUUAACAACAGUGGGGAGGAAAAAUAUGAAAAAGGAAGUAGUGGCACAAAAAAUGAUGAAAAAGGAAAUGAUGGAAAAGGAAAUGAUGGAAAAGGAAAUGAUGGAANNNNNNNNNNAAAAGGAAAUGAUGGAAAAGGAAAUGAUGGAAAAGGAAAUGAUGGAAAAAAAAGUAAUGACCGAUCAGAAUUUAUUUUAACAAAAAAUGUAAUAAACAAUUUGUUUAGUAAUAAAGAUGUAUUGUAUAAUACGAAAGGUUACACUAAUUAUUGGAAUAAUAUCAGUAAAAGUGCUAAAAGUGGUCUUAUUACUAAUAUUUCAUCCAGUAUUGUAAAAACUGAUCACAUCCCUUAUCUUAUAAAUCCUUCUCCUUUUUUUUAUCAUUCCAUUUUAAGCAAUAAUAAAAUUACAAAGAUACAUUACAGUUUUUGUAUGGAGUAUUUUUUUAAUUUUUUAACUAUUCAUAAUUUAUUUUUAAAUAUAUUAAAAGAUGGUAAACAUAACACAAAUGUUAAUAUUCUAGAAUUUUUUUGGGGGGUAGAAAAUGAUACUUCUGUUGGUACUAGCACAAAUGAUACAAAUAUAAUGUUAAUUAUAUCAUACAUUUCAAACUUUUUUAUUUAUUUUUUAUAUGUUUGUACAAAAAUUAAUAGACAUAAUACAAGUAAAACAACUUUAAUUAACAACACAUAUUACGAUGCAUUGUCUAAAUUAAUUAAUAUCACUAUUGAAAAAAAUGAAAACUCAUUAAUCGUUUUAAAUAUAGAAAAUAUUAAUAGUAGUAUUAUGAAAGUUGAUAUUUUUUCAAAUAUUCAACAAAAGUUACUUAUAAAAAAAAAUGACAAAUCGUUACAUACUGAUACAUAUGAGUUUAUAGAAUCUAUAAGAAAUAAAAAAAAAGAAAAAAAAACAAACAAACAAAUAAUAAGUGAUAAUAUUUUUUGUAUUGAUAAUAAUAACACAAGUAACAAAAAUAAUAUAGUCCAUAACAAAAAAUCUCAAUAUAUGGAUUUAAUAUGUAAAGAAUAUAACAGUAACAAUUAUUAUUCAAAAUAUACACGGUAUUAUAAGAAUUGGUCUUGGAGAGGAAAAAAUCGUUUAUAUAUUUAUUAUUACAAUUUACUUUUAGAAAGAUGUCGUAAGAAUUAUAAUAUUUAUAACAGUAAUAAUGUCAGUAACAGUAGUAACCUUUUUUUUAUGAAACAAAUUUUAUAUAAUUUACCAUUUAUUAUUAAAAAAGAUGUAGCUCUUUUUUUUAAAAAAAAAAGAAGUAUAAAAAAUAGGAAAAAUAAAAACACUGACUGUUGUACAAAAAAAAAUAAUAUAUUUAGAAAAGUUAAAAAGGGAAUAACAUUUAAACAAGUAAAAAAAAAAGAAAUUUUAAAAAAUGUUGAAAAUGGUUUGGGGUUUACAUAUUUUGUUGAUUAUACAAAAGAUAAGAAAGAAACAAUAAAAUCUAUGUUUGACAAUUUUAAUAUUAUAAAGGUUUUAUGUAAAAGUGGUAGUAGUGGUAGUAAUAGUAGUAGUGGUAGUAAUAGUAGUAGUGGUAGUAGCAGUUUCAGCAGUAGUGGUAGACGAGGUGACAAAAAUAGGUAUAAUUUAUUAUUUAUACUUUUGUGGAAUAUUAAUCCUAAAAAUAUAUUAAGUGAUUAUUAUUAUUAUUAUUAUUAUUAUUAUUAUUAUUAUUAUUAUUAUGUGUUAACUAACUGUGUUUUAUCUAGAUUAUAUUACAACUACAACUAUUUUAAUUUUAUACAUGAUUAUACUAACAAUUAUUUUUUUAAUGGUUUUAAAAAAAAUGAGAAUUAUAAACAGAUUGAUAAAAAUGAUGAACAAUAUGGUAACAUUAGAAAUAAGGUUCCUUUCGACUUGUCAACUGGAAUUAUUAAUGAUAUUUGUAUGACUAAUUAUAAAAGUAAUAAUAAAAAGAAAAAAAAAACAAUAAUUACUACGGAAUGUUUAUAUAAAUUACUUUUUUUUCAAAUUCGUGAUAAUAAUUGUUGUUGGUAUGAUGAGAAAAACUAUUAUAACGAUAAAACAAAUAUAAAUAAAAAUAAAUUUUUAAAUGUUAAAAAAAGAAAUAAAGAAAAAAAAAAUAUUGGUUUAAAUAAUAAUAAAAUAUGUGGAAAAAAAAAACAUGUAGUAGUAGAUGAAUGUAAAAUGUUAGAUCAAGACAUUUAUACGUCAAUGGAAAAAACAGAUAGAACGGAAAAAGCAAACACAAUGGAAAA